GUGGCAGAAGCUUUCUACGCGGCCCGAGGAGAUAGCCAUGUGCCUUUGCUACCACUCAUAUUUGAGAGGUGACUUCGACAAGAUGACUUUGACAAAGUGACUUUGACUUGACAGACAUAUUAACACGAAACAGGCUAUGUCUACCACAUUCUACAAGUUUCUUUCACCACGAAAGAGGCCAGGAAGCUGGCUUCUGGCCCCACAGGGGAGUCCUCCCAAUAUGCUUGUUUUCCCUGGACUCUCCCAGAUUGAGAUGUUAGCACAGUUGAAGGAUAACUUUUCAACUGUCCUACUGCCUGACCUUGAGCUCGAUUAAUGGGUCCCUGCAUGAUUUCUCGGAAGGAUGCAGAGGUAACAUGGUUCACCAAUGGCAACAGCCUCAUUCAGGAUGGACAGAGCCUGUGAGAUCCCACUGUGUGACAGUGCUUUGCUGGGCAAGCCUGCUGACCUGAGUCUUAUUCUGAAACCACAUAAAAGACGGAAGGUAAAAACCAGCUCCGGGAAGUUCUGACCUCUGACCUCCGUGCAUCAGCACAUAUCAUGCCCACAUGAUAAGGACGAAUUCUUAAAUAAGAUAACCAGUCAAUUGAAUCAGGGCAACAGAUGGCACAGAUGCUGAGGUUAACAGAAAGAGACUUGGAAACAACUGUAACAAUUAAAUGAAGUAAUCAUUUAAAGAAUUCACAGGGGAAAAAAAAGUUAACGGAAUAAAGAAGCAGAUGGAGAAAGUUAGGAAAUGUAUAUACAAUUUAUCUAAGUUAAGAGAAAAGGGAUCAGAAAGAAAUAGAAAUACUAGAACUAAAAAUGUAAUAUUUAAAAUAAACUGAUUGUUCUGCAGUAAAAGAUUGUUAGUCAGGAAAAAGAACAGGAUUAGGGAAUUUGAAAACAAGUGAAUAUAAUUCACACAAACUCAAAUAGAAAAGAAAAGGUAUUUUAAAAGAAACAAAAUCUGAAUUAUCUAUGAAAUAAUAUCAAACAUUCAACAUUGUAAAAGUAACUUUUAUUCAACAGAUGUAACUGUUGUCUCAGAGGCUUACUCUUGAAUAAGCUCAUCUUUUCUAGUUAUUGAACUCUGGCUGGCUGGUUCAACUCAGCUGUUUUAGCUCAAAACACCUCUCCAAGCUGACUGAUUCAAUCUGGCUUCUCUUUGAUCUCACUGAAUUUCUGUGCCUGACCUUAAACUAACUCUGUCAUUUGUUCUGUUCUUCUGGCUCCUUCUUAUUCUUUGGCUUCAGCUGCCUCUGCUGACCUGCCCUGAACUGCAGGAACUUAGGAACAAACUCUCCUCCACUGUACUGCACUCACUGAACUGACUCCCCACUGACUGACUCUCCCUGCACUGUUCUUAAAUAGCUUCUCUGUCCUGUGCUGUUCUCAUGAGAGUUGGGUGUAUCCUAUACCUGACCCAUUCUGUCAAAUCUUUCCCUUAUUCAUCACUUUAUCUGCCCCUCAAUUAGCUAUCACUUUCAAUCAUUACUACUUCCUUCUACAAACCAAUUUUACCUUAAAGGUGUAUACUAAGGGCAUGUCUGUGUUCCUGCCAGAGGGAUUAAAGAUGUGAGUUAUGUCUGUAUUCCCGCCAGUUCACAUAUACCUAAAUCUUUGGAUGUAAUCACUUGCCCAAAGCAGCCACAUUGUUGGAUUAAAAUUCCUCUAUACAAC